ACACUGUCUACUCUGGUAAACCAGCCUCAUAUAAGCUCCUGGAGGCUGGCGUGUCCCCAGGGGUCAGGCCAUCCCAGAAACGAUGACUUGACCAUAGUCACGUCAUGAGGUGAGAGAUUCCGGGAAGGGGCAGCAAGAGGAGAAAGAAGCGAAGGGCGCCCCAAGGUAAUGUGUGCCCUACACAGGGCUCCUAGCCAUAAGCACUUAUGCAAGUGCGGGGCACAGAGAAAAUUCUGGUAACACUCCUCCCCUCAAUUCUGAUCAGGUCCCAGGCUCAACUAAUCAGUUCAGGGAUGGGCCCUUUGCCACCUUUUUCCUAACCAAAGCCACUCUCAAGGGGAAACUUCUAUUAACGGCCAGUAAGCAAGACACACAACGCUUUUUGUUUGAAGGACUACCCAGGCGUUAGUGCCCUUCCAGACCGGCUCUAGUGACUGGCGGGGAAGAAGGGGAAAAAGAAUUAGUGUAUCUGGACACAACACCCAGCAUGUGCUAGGCAGAAACUAAGUGUGCGAAGCGGAUCCCGAUGUACAAAGGGGAAAACAGCGGCUGGGAAAGCCUGAGCCACG
rnacentral:lncRNA from 1 species